AGCAGCCGCGGUAAUUCCAGCUCCAAUAGCGUAUAUUAAAGUUGUUGCAGUUAAAAAGCUCGUAGUUGAAUUUCGGGAUCAGUUGGUCGGUCGUGCCUCGGUACGUACUGGUCAAAUUGAUUCCUACCUUCUGACGAACCACGAUGUCAUUAAUUUGGUGUCGUGGGGAAUCAGGACUGUUACUUUGAAAAAAUUAGAGUGUUUAAAGCAGGCUCGCGCUUGAAUACAUUAGCAUGGAAUAAUGAAAUAGGACGUUUGAUUCUAUUUUGUUGGUUUCUAGGAUCGGCGUAAUGAUUAAUAGGGAUAGUUGGGGGCAUUAGUAUUCAAUUGUCAGAGGUGAAAUUCUUGGAUUAUUGGAAGACUAACUACUGCGAAAGCAUUUGCCAAGGAUGUUUUCAUUAAUCAAGAACGAAAGUUAGGGGAUCGAAGACGAUCAGAUACCGUCGUAGUCUUAACCAUAAACUAUGCCGACUAGGGAUCGGAUGAUGUUAAUUUUUUAAUGACUCAUUCGGCGCCUUAC
rnacentral:rRNA from 1 species